rnacentral:lncRNA from 1 species
CUUUUUAUUAAAGCAAAUUUAUUCUCUUGAAAUAAAUACCAGUAAUUAAGAUUCUUGAUGUCUUUUUCCAAAGAAGAUCCUUUGCAAGAAUUCAGUGAAGCUGAAACAGGAGAGCUAGAUUCUUGUCUCAUGGAGUUGAAGAAUGAAUCUUGGGGAUGAAGGAGAAUUGUGUUAGAUACAGAUGUUCCUGGGAUGAAAAGAACAUUAAGCUACCUCAUGUCCAUGGCUGGUGAGAUCUCAGAAAAUAUAGGAGCAGCAGGCACCUCAUAAAACAAAAGUUGCUGCAGCCUGGGAUACAAUGUCAGUCAAUUCUAUGAGCAAGAGUUGUGAUGAAACUGAGUGACUGCACAGGUGACACACCCAUGAAGCCAGCUUGCCUGGGAUAGGGCACAAGAUGAUGCCAUCCAAAUUUCUCACUUCAUAGUUGCUAAAGAGGAAAAUGAGGAUCUACAAGAACUUACUACAUAGUCUUAGAUCAUUCAAUACAGAAGAUUAUAACUUUCUAUAAAGAACUCAUUUUAAGUGCCCACUGGGCAGCUGGGAGCCCUUCCUGGUGCAGUGUCCCUCCAGUGCGUGGUCUUCAGAAAGUUGAUCAUGGUGCUCACUGUGAAGAAGAGAUGCUUAAAGGGAUGCUGUCCAUUGUUUGGAAGGUGAGCUUGGAACUGAUUGGCAUCACACUGAAAACUGGAAUGUAUAGUCACCUCAGGAACCCUAGGAAGUUAGUAGCGUGUUGUCCCUUUGUGUUGUCCCCUUUUUUUUUAAUGCACGAAUUCAGUUUGUUUUAAAAAGGUAUUUUAAAUCUGUGAGUAAAGAAUGACCCAUUCAACAGAUGGUACAGAGACAAAUGACUACCCCUUUAGGAAAAAAAAGUUGCCUCCCAUAAAAAAUAAAUUUCAGACAAGUUAGAUAUACA